rnacentral:miRNA from 1 species
UGUGGUGAAUAAGAGAGAAUAUU